AGUCUGGGCGGGUGUCUAGAAUGCAGUCGAGCGGGGUACAUCGCUGUAGCAAUACAGCGGCGUGCCUAGCGGCAAACGGGUGAGUAAUGCAAGGGUAGCCACCCCCAAGGAGGAGCAUAACCCGCCGAAAGGCGGGCUGAUACUCCAUGUUCUGCACUGAGGGCAUCCUUAGUGCAGCAAAGGCGCUGCAAGGUGCCGCCUCGGGACGGGCUCUUGUCCUAUCAGCUUGAUGGCGGGGUAACGGCCCACCAUGGCUGAGACGGGUAGCCGGCGUGAGAGCGUGACCGGCCACAGGGGAACUGCGACACGGUCCCCACUCCUACGGGGGGCAGCAGUCUAGAAAUUUGGACAAUGGGCGAAAGCCUGACCCAGCGACACCGUGUGGAGGAUGAAGUCCUUCGGGAUGUAAACUCCUUACAGGAGGAACGAUGCCGUCUGUGAGUAACUGCUCAGGCGGUGACGGUACUUCCAGAGGAAGCCCCGGCUAACUACGUGCCAGCAGCCGCGGUAAUACGUAGGGGGCAAGCGCUGUCCGGAUUUACUGGGCGUAAAGGGUGUGUAGGCGGACUGGCGUGUCGAUGGUGAAAGCUCACGGCUCAACCGGGAAAUUGCUGUCGAAACUACCAGCCUUGAGGGCGGAAGAGGAAACUGGAACUUCCGGUGUAGCGGUAAAAUGCGUAGAUAUCGGAAGGAACGCCAACAGCGAAGGCAGGUUUCUGGGACGCUCCUGACGCUGAAACACGAAAGUUAGGGGAGCAAACAGGAUUAGAUACCCUGGUAGUCCUAACCGUAAACGAUGCACACUAUGCGUGGGGGGUAACCCCUGUGCCGGAGCCAACGCGUUAAGUGUGCCGCCUGGGAACUACGGCCGCAAGGUUGAAACUCAAAGGAAUUGACGG
rnacentral:rRNA from 1 species